rnacentral:rRNA from 1 species
CUACAGAGGGUGCAAGCGUUAAUCGGAUUUACUGGGCGUAAAGCGCGCGUAGGUGGCUAAUUAAGUCAAAUGUGAAAUCCCCGAGCUUAACUUGGGAAUUGCAUUCGAUACUGGUUAGCUAGAGUAUGGGAGAGGAUGGUAGAAUUCCAGGUGUAGCGGUGAAAUGCGUAGAGAUCUGGAGGAAUACCGAUGGCGAAGGCAGCCAUCUGGCCUAAAACUGACACUGAGGUGCGAAAGCAUGGGGAGAAAACAGGAUUAGAUACCCUGGUAGUCCAUGCCGUAAACGAUGUCUACUAGCCGUUGGGGCCCUUGAGGCUUUAGUGGCGCAGCUAACGCGAUAAGUAGACCGCCUGGGGAGUACGGUCGCAAGACUAAAACUCAAAUGAAUUGACGGGG